rnacentral:rRNA from 1 species
UACGAAGGGGGCUAGCGUUGCUCGGAAUCACUGGGCGUAAAGGGUGCGUAGGCGGGUCUUUAAGUCAGGGGUGAAAUCCUGGAGCUCAACUCCAGAACUGCCUUCGAUACUGAGAAGCUCGAGUCCGGGAGAGGUGAGUGGAACUGCGAGUGUAGAGGUGAAAUUCGUAGAUAUUCGCAAGAACACCAGUGGCGAAGGCGGCUCACUGGCCCGGUACUGACGCUGAGGUGCGAAAGCGUGGGGAGCAAACAGG